GAUGAACGCUGGCGGCGUGCCUAAUACAUGCAAGUCGAGCGAACAGAUGAGGAGCUUGCUCCUCUGACGUUAGCGGCGGACGGGUGAGUAACACGUGGAUAACCUACCUAUAAGACUGGGAUAACUUCGGGAAACCGGAGCUAAUACCGGAUAAUAUAUUGAACCGCAUGGUUCAAUAGUGAAAGACGGUUUUGCUGUCACUUAUAGAUGGAUCCGCGCCGCAUUAGCUAGUUGGUAAGGUAACGGCUUACCAAGGCAACGAUGCGUAGCCGACCUGAGAGGAUGAUCGGCCACACUGGAACUGAGACACGGUCCAGACUCCUACGGGAGGCAGCAGUAGGGAAUCUUCCGCAAUGGGCGAAAGCCUGACGGAGCAACGCCGCGUGAGUGAUGAAGGUCUUCGGAUCGUAAAACUCUGUUAUUAGGGAAGAAAAAAUGUGUAAGUAACUAUGCACGUCUUGACGGUACCUAAUCAGAAAGCCACGGCUAACUACGUG
rnacentral:rRNA from 1 species